ACAGAGGGGGCAAGCGUUGCUCGGAAUCACUGGGCGUAAAGGGCGCGUAGGUGGCCCGACAAGUCAGUGGUGAAAGCUCGAUGCUCAACAUCGAGUCGGCCACUGAUACUGUUGGGCUGGAGCACUGUAGAGGCUCACGGAAUUCCGGGUGUAGCGGUGGAAUGCGUAGAGAUCCGGAAGAACACCGGUGGCGAAGGCGGUGAGCUGGGCAGUUGCUGACACUGAGGCGCGACAGCGUGGGGAGCAAACAGGA
rnacentral:rRNA from 1 species